UAUCACAAUGAAUAGAACCUGGUUAUGCAAAUGACUGCCCAGUCAAUUCCACUAUGUCCCAUGGGGCCCUUGGGAUGGGGCUAAAACUAGGCUCUGUUCCUAUCACUUAAAAGCUUUGUAGAAGAUGGGCACAGUGGCCCAUGCCUGUAAUACUGAAAGUCUGAGGCAGGCGGGUCACUUGAGCCCAGGAGUUUCAGACCAGCCUGGGCAACAUAGCAAGACCCCAUCUCAGAAAAAAAUCUUUGGGACCAGCUUAUCCAUCUUUUUGUCCAAUCCCAGCAGCUCAAUAGACACCAGAUCAAGUCUACGGGUGAGGGGUAGGACGGAGCCUCUUUUGUUGCUUGGAAUGUCUGCUUCAGAAAAAGCUGAACCAGUUUACUCUGAUACAGAUAUUUUGCCCUUUUGGAAACUGAAGAUAAAACAGAAAAAGAAAAGAAUUUUAAGAUAUGUUAAUCUAGCAAAACUAACAUAAGAAUGGCCACCGUGAAUUUCAUGAAAUUUUGCCACAGAGCAAUACUAAAAACUGAAUGAUUAUGCCUUUUUCCAUAUUUUAAUUAAAACUGAAAUGAAAAUACUCACUGUUGGAAAGUAAAGAAAUUAAGCCAUAGAUGGUUUGAUGGAUUGGUUGAUUAUUUAGAAACGUA
rnacentral:lncRNA from 1 species